GUGGCUCUGUCAGCUGUGGCUACUCUUCGUAUGAGUCUCCAGGUGAAAGUUUUAAUGAUAGGAGGGAUAGUUUUGCAUUUCCAAACCCUGCAUAGAAUUGUGUUAGCCUGGGGGUGAUGCUUCUUGUACCUGUAGCAGGAAUUUGCAUAGUGUUAUUAGUAGAAAGAUGUUUAAAAAUAGCUUUCGCAGUUCCCAUUCCAUCUUUAGCAGGAGUCCAUCUUAGAAUGUCAUUGUAUGUACUAUCAACAGUAGGGGUAUUUAUUAUGUGAUGCACAGCUUGAUUGUCAAAAGUGUUAG
rnacentral:lncRNA from 1 species